AACUUUCAACAACGGAUCUCUUGGUUCCGGCAUCGAUGAAGAACGCAGCGAAAUGCGAUACGUAAUGUGAAUUGCAGAAUUCAGUGAAUCAUCGAGUCUUUGAACGCACAUUGCGCCCCCUGGUAUUCCGGGGGGCAUGCCUGUCCGAGCGUCAUUGC
rnacentral:rRNA from 1 species